UACGGGGGGAGCAAGCGUUGUUCGGAUUUACUGGGCGUAAAGGGCGCGUAGGCGGCCAGCACAAGUCAGUUGUGAAAUCUCCGAGCUUAACUCGGAAAGGUCAACUGAUACUGUGCGGCUAGAGUGCGGAAGGGGCAACUGGAAUUCUUGGUGUAGCGGUGAAAUGCGUAGAUAUCAAGAGGAACACCUGCGGCGAAGGCAGCUCGCUGGGACGGUACUGACGCUGAGGCGCGAAAGCGUGGGGAGCAAACAGG
rnacentral:rRNA from 1 species